rnacentral:misc_RNA from 2 species
AACGCACAUUGCGCCUCCUGGUAUUCCGGGAGGCAUGCCUGUUCGAGCGUCAUUAAAAUCACUCAAGCUUAGGUUUGCCUAUUGCUUGGUCUUGAAGAUGGAAGCUAAGUAAUUAGAAUCCUCUUCGAAAUCCAAUGGCGAAGACCCUUGCUCUCCCAAGUGUAGUAAUAACUUAUUCACUGAAGGAAGCGAGUAAUCUUCCGCCGUAACCCCCAUAUUUUCUAUGAUUGACCUCGGAUCAGGUAGGGAUACCCGCUGAACUUAA